CUGAUUUUCUGCCUCACUUAUUUCAUACUGAGGAGAAGAAAAGGUGAUAAAACAAACGAUUCUGCUAUUGAAGAUUCUCCAGGAACGAGGCAGGAAUCUGAAGUUGACACGCUGAAUUACACAGCUUUGGAAUUCUCUAAACGGAACGCAGUAAAAAGUCGGACACAAACUGACACAACAGGAGACCAAUGUGUUUAUUCCACUGUGAACUAAUUUCUAAUUAAGUGACAUUGUUGUGGCAUUUAUAAAGCACUUCUCUUCUUCUUACAUUAAACAUUAUAUUUCUAUAUAGUUACCUGAAUAAAGAGGAAAAAAGUAAACAUA